UACGUAGGAGGCAAGCGUUGUCCGGAUUUACUGGGCGUAAAGAGCGCGUAGGCGGAAGUUUAAGCGGUGCCUGAAAGCCCCCGGCUCAGCCGGGGAGGGUGGUGCCGAACUGGGCUUCUUGAGGGCGAUAGAGGAGAGUGGAAUUCCGGGUGUAGCGGUGAAAUGCGUAGAGAUCCGGAGGAACACCAGUGGCGCAGGCGGCUCUCUGGGUCGACCCUGACGCUGAGGCGCGAAAGCGUGGGGAGCGAACGGG
rnacentral:rRNA from 1 species